rnacentral:pre_miRNA from 1 species
UUACUCUCCACCUCCACAAGACACUUGUUUUCUUGAAAAGACGUUCUGUCUGGACCUAGAGAACAAGUGUCUUAUGGAUGUUGAGAGUAA